rnacentral:rRNA from 1 species
CCUACGGGGGGCUGCAGUGGGGAAUAUUGGACAAUGGGCGAAAGCCUGAUCCAGCCAUGCCGCGUGUGUGAAGAAGGCCUUCGGGUUGUAAAGCACUUUCAGUGGGGAAGAAAGCCUUGGGGCUAAUACCCUCGAGGAAGGACAUCACCCACAGAAGAAGCACCGGCUAACUCCGUGCCAGCAGCCGCGGUAAUACGGAGGGUGCGAGCGUUAAUCGGAAUUACUGGGCGUAAAGCGCGCGUAGGCGGUCUGAUAAGCCGGUUGUGAAAGCCCCGGGCUCAACCUGGGAACGGCAUCCGGAACGGUCAGGCUGAAGUGCGGGAGAGGAGGGUGAAUUCCCCGGGGUGGCGGGGAAAUGCGAAGAAAGCGGGAGGAAUACCAGGGCGAAGGCGGCCUUCUGGACUGACACUGACGCUGAGGUGCGAAAGCGUGGGUAGCAAACAGGAUUAGAUACCCCAGUAGUC